rnacentral:tRNA from 1 species
ACCAGACUGGCUCAGUCGGUGGAGCAUGAGACUCUUGAUCUCGGGGUCAUAGGUUCGAGCCCCAUGUUGGGUA